rnacentral:tRNA from 1 species
CACUGUGAAGCUAAGUAGCAUUAACCUUUUAAGUUAAAGAUUGAGAAAUAAACUCUCCACAGUGA